CCUACGGGUGGCAGCAGUGAGGAAUAUUGGUCAAUGGCCGUAAGGCUGAACCAGCCAAGCAGCGUGAGGGAAGACUGCCCUAUGGGUUGUAAACCUCUUUUAUGCGGGGAUAAAGGUGUCCACGCGUGGCUGUUUGCAGGUACCGCAUGAAUAAGGACCGGCUAAUUCCGUGCCAGCAGCCGCGGUAAUACGGAAGGUCCGGGCGUUAUCCGGAUUUAUUGGGUUUAAAGGGAGCGUAGGCGGGUCUUUAAGCGUGCCGUGAAAUUUUGUGGCUCAACCAUGGGAGUGCGGCGCGAACUGGAGACCUAGAGUGCGCGUAAGGCAGGCGGAAUGCGUGGUGUAGCGGUGAAAUGCUUAGAGAUCACGAAGAACCCCGAUUGCGAAGGCAGCCUGCCGCGGCAUUACUGACGCUGAAGCACGAAAGCGCGGGUAUCGAACAGGAUUAGAUACCCGAGUAGUC
rnacentral:rRNA from 1 species